CUAUGUAAUAACUCCCUGCCCUGUAAAGCACCUAAUGUACUAAAAUAUAAUAAAUUAAUGUUUUACUAUAUUUUUGUCUCACACCUGUCUGCCUAGACUAAUAUCUGUCAGCCUUGAUCCAGCAGGCCUGUUCUGCCACUUCCUAUUUGACUGACUUACUCAAAUGUGAUUUAUUAGCUUGUCUGUUUUUUAACCCUGUCCUUCUACAUGCUAUGCUUUCUGAUACAAUCAUUGUGUAUUAAACGUGUUCAUGUUCUUUUCAUGUAACUGUGUUAUUUAGCCUAGACGAGGUAUAUUGGCUUUUUCCUCUAAGACCAUAAACAAUAAUCCAUAUGAAGUCGAGAGAUACGUAAUAUUUUCAUCAAGCAGUAGUUGUGCUUAUUAUAACUUCGUGGUAGACAUUUUGCACUUUGACCAAAAGUGCCCUCCACAAUUUUAAUUUCUAAUAACAAAGACAAAAUAUGAAUGUAAGUCACAAUUCUGAGUGCUCUAGCAAAAUAUUGUGCAUUUCAGAAAAUAUACACUUGUCUCUGGUUCUUUACGGGAAACAUAGCUUCUUACCAUGGUACAAAAACCUUAUUCUGAGGCCUCAACUGAAGCUGUUUGCACAGGAAAGACAGUGGGAUAAGUCAGAAGUAGUGCUGUAGUUGACAGCCAUCACUCCUACUCACUGCAUUACCAAUGAUUGCAGAUCUAAUGAAACGAGACCCUCAGAAAAUUCAGACUGAAAAUUUGAUUAGGGCCGUAGAACCGGCAUUUGAGAGGCUACAUUGACAGCUACAACCCAUAAUCCACAAUAAUGCUACCAACACAUGGGUUAUUCCUGAACUUUAAGAAACCUCCUGUAUCUUCCUUGCUAUUUGCCCACCCAGUCUACAACCCCUCUCCAGUGUAGAUGCCUGACUCACACAGACCAACACAGUCCUCUUCAUCUGGAGGAGCUGGGGUGAUACUGCAGAGACAUCCGAACCUCUCUUUCCAAGUGGGAGGCAAGGAAAUCCACUCACAGAGUCUCCUCUUUGUGCUGAGAUCAUGGAAUGAUUGUGUGUGGAAUGAUCCAGGCUUCUGCUCUUAGUUAUUCUCGUUACUACAGAUUUACUCUCACUGGUGUAAAUGCAAAAAGAAUUUGGCCCAUGGUACGGCACUUAGACCUUCAGCUCAAGGAACAUGAAGAAAGUAGACUUUAUCGUCAUUUGUUACAAGUAAAGUAGACUUUGUUGCUGAAAUAAAAUCGGGGUUUAUUUAUCUUAGAUAACAAUUCACAUUUUUGCAAAGAUACCCAUUGCUCUGGUGACUGGACAAAAAUGUUAUGCCACAGACAGGCAAGUAUUUCUUCACUGUGCAUACAUUGUUGCUAUAGAUUGCUAUGCACUGGUAUGUUACAUAAGAGAUGGUUCCCUGUAUAUUGAGAACGUUAAGUACAGGCUGCUACAGUAAAGUGUUCAUUUUCUUCAGCAACACUGUAACUCCUAACUAACUGAAUUGUCACAUUAAUUUAUGAAUUUAGCAGGAAUAUGUUUUAACAAAUGAGAUUCUUUUAAAAUUUUUGCUCUAUUAGUUCUGCCUUAUGCAAAAAUAUUGUAAACGUUCCUUUAAGCAGUUUGGAUAACAGGGUGGAAAAUAUGUUAUAAACUUUAGGGGAGAUUGUCAAGUAUUUGUAUCCUAAUUUUAAACUUCACUUACUGUUAUAAAUAUCACCUUAUAAUAAAGGAUUUGCCAUGCGAUGUAAGACCACGUUAACUUGUCUCUGCUUGUGGCUGUGGCCAGGUUCAUCAAUAAAAAGUAAAUAGAGAAUAUUUUCAGUUAUGUUGAACCCAUAAAUACACCAGAAACCUGAUUCUAAG